UACGGAGGGUGCAAGCGUUGCUCGGAAUUAUUGGGCGUAAAGGGUAGGUAGGUGGUCUCAUUUGUCUGGGGUGAAAGCCUUGAGCUUAACUCAAGAAGUGCCCCAGAAACGGUGAGACUAGAGUCCUGGAGAGGGUCGUGGAAUUCCCGGUGUAGCGGUGAAAUGCGUAGAGAUCGGGAGGAACACCGGUGGCGAAGGCGGGUCUCUGGGCCGUAACUGACGCUGAGGAGCGAAAGCGUGGGGAGCGAACAGG
rnacentral:rRNA from 1 species